rnacentral:rRNA from 1 species
CCUACGGGAGGCAGCAGUGGGGAAUAUUGGACAAUGGGGGGAACCCUGAUCCAGCCAUGCCGCGUGUGUGAAGAAGGCCCUCGGGUUGUAAAGCACUUUCAGUGAGGAAGAACGCCUGGUGGUUAAUACCCAUCAGGAAAGACAUCACUCACAGAAGAAGCACCGGCUAACUCCGUGCCAGCAGCCGCGGUAAUUCGGAGGGUGCGAGCGUUAAUCGGAAUUACUGGGCGUAAAGCGCGCGUAGGUGGCUUGAUAAGCCGGUUGUGAAAGCCCCGGGCUCAACCUGGGAACGGCAUCCGGAACUGUCAAGCUAGAGUGCAGGAGAGGAAGGUAGAAUUCCCGGUGUAGCGGUGAAAUGCGUAGAGAUCGGGAGGAAUACCAGUGGCGAAGGCGGCCUUCUGGACUGACACUGACACUGAGGUGCGAAAGCGUGGGUAGCAAACAGGAUUAGAUACCCGUGUAGUC